rnacentral:rRNA from 1 species
AUCCAGCGAACUUGGCAGAGAUGCCUUGGUGCCUUCGGGAACGCUGAGACAGGUGCUGCAUGGCUGUCGUCAGCUCGUGUUGUGAAAUGUUGGGUUAAGUCCCGNAACGAGCGCAACCCUUAUCCUUUGUUGCCAGCGAUUCGGUCGGGAACUCAAAGGAGACUGCCGGUGAUAAACCGGAGGAAGGUGGGGAUGACGUCAAGUCAUCAUGGCCCUUACGAGUAGGGCUACACACGUGCUACAAUGGCGCAUACAAAGAGAAGCGACCUCGCGAGAGCAAGCGGACCUCAUAAAGUGCGUCGUAGUCCGGAUCGGAGUCUGCAACUCGACUCCGUGAAGUCGGAAUCGCUAGUAAUCGUGGAUCAGAAUGCCACGGUGAAUACGUUCCCGGGCCUUGUACACACCGCCCGUCACACCAUGGGAGUGGGUUGCAAAAGAAGUAGGUAGCUUAACCUCCGGGAGGGCGCUUACCACUUUGUGAUUCAUGACUGGGGUGAAGUCGUAACAAGGUAGGCGUAGCGAG